CCCUUAGAUGUUCUGGGCCGCACGCGCGCUACACUGAUGCAUUCAACGAGCCUAUCCUUGACCGACAGGUCCGGGUAAUCUUUGAAUCUGCAUCGUGACGGGGAUAGAUUAUUGCAAUUAUUAAUCUUCAACGAGGAAUGCCUAGUAGGCGCAAGUCAUCAGCUUGCGUCGAUUACGUCCCUGCCCUUUGUACACACCGCCCGUCGCUCCUACCGAUUGGGUGUGCUGGUGAAAUGUUCGGAUCGGCCGUUUGUCGCGGUUUCCGCGUCAUGUGGCUGAGAAGUUCAUUAAACCCUCCCACCAAGAGGAAGGAGAAGUCGUAACA
rnacentral:rRNA from 1 species